rnacentral:rRNA from 1 species
GACAGAGGUCCCGAGCGUUUAGGCGGAAUCACUGGGCUUAAAGCGUGUGUAGGCGGAUCGUUAAGUGCCUUGUGAAAAUCCCGCGGCUUAACCGUGGAACUGCUUGGCAUACUGGCGGUCUUGAGCCACCUAGGGGCAACCGGAACAAAUGGUGGAGCGGUGAAAAUGCGUAGAGAUCAGGAAGAACAUCGGUGGCGAAGGCGCUCUGCUGGACCUAACUGACACUCAGGGACGAAAAGCUAGGGGAGCGAAUGGG